GAUGAACGCUGGCGGCGUGCCUAAUACAUGCAAGUCGAACGAAGAUCUAGCUUGCUAGAUCUUAGUGGCGAACGGGUGAGUAAUACAUAAAUAAUCUGCCCAUAUGACUGGGAUAACUAUUGGAAACGAUAGCUAAUACCGGAUAGGUUGAUUGGAGGCAUCUCUGAUUAAUUAAAGUAGGAUUUCUACACAAAUGGAUGAGUUUAUGGCGCAUUAGUUGGUUGGUGGGGUAACGGCCUACCAAGACGAGGAUGCGUAGCCGACCUGAGAGGGUGACCGGCCACACUGGGACUGAGACACGGCCCAGACUCCUACGGGAGGCAGCAGUAGGGAAUUUUCGGCAAUGGGCGCAAGCCUGACCGAGCAACGCCGCGUGAGUGAUUAAGGCCUUCGGGUUGUAAAGCUCUGUUGUAAGGGAAGAACAUUCAGGAUAGGAAAUGAUCUUGAACUGACGGUACCUUACCAGAAAGCCACGGCUAACUACGUGCCAGCCGCCGCGGUAAUAC
rnacentral:rRNA from 1 species